UUAAAAAAGGUAAACCAUCCUGUGUUGUAGCAUGUGUGCUGUACAUCCAUAGGGCACUCAAAAGGAGGAUUCACCUUUACUAGGGUGACAGAGGUUUCCUGUAGACCUAACCAACUUAGAAGAAGAUCCAAGAGAAAACCAAGAAUGCAGAAUCCCAGCAUGGGAAGGAGAAGGAAAGUACUGUCUUAAAAUCAACAUACAGCCAGAUGUAUGUCUCUUCCCCGUGUUACUGGAGGUUGAGAUUGACACAGAUGGAUGGCAAGAUUGGACAGUGAACUGAGAGUGGCUGAUGUGGAUGGACGGCAGCAGCAUGGAGGAGAUCUUUGCUGAGGGCAGUUCUGUGGGCUGUGAAUGGCUGACAUGGCUGGCUGACAAGGAGCUGUCCUGAAAGGCUUCCAUCUAGCCGUAAACUGGGGAUGGCUGACAUGGCCGGGCAGACAGGCAGCGCCAUUGCCCUGCAAUGGGUUGAGAGCUCCUGCUAUGGGGAGAUUAUCAAAUGAAUGUAAAAUCUCUGGGAAGAUGACCCUCCCCAGAACCUUGCUGUGAGAGCUGUGUUAAUGUCGUGUCUGUCUAGUUCGUAUUGUAAGCUUUUAGGGGCAGAUAUCUUGCUUUUAUCUUUUUGCUUUUACCAGCUUGUAAAGUUCUCUGUGCACUCCUGGUGAAAAAGGGCUAAUGGGUCAAUCCCCAAGAAAUCCUUAAUAAGCCAUCACUCUCUUCACUCGGGCAGCCCUUCCCCUCCCAUUAACCUCAAAUCAUAUGGCUAUACUGCACAGUUAGCUCAGGUAAUCAGUACCCAGGUCUGAGCACCCAGGUUAUCCCAACCUAGGCAUGAGCAUGCCCACUGCAAGGCCUUACUCACAUUGCUGUGUCCUCACUGUUUCUGUGCUCCCCCAUAUGUGUCUAGGGGCAUAUCCCAUGGUUCUCUGUACUGAGAUACGCUAAGAUUCUUUCCCAGUCAAUUGUGUCAGUUGUGGGAGAACUUGCUUGUCCUUCACCGGGAGCUGCGGGAAGGGCAUUGGAAGAGUACCAGCACUCAGGUGAUUUUGCCUGCAUCCUCAUUGCGAAGUUAAUGGGUUCCAGCCCAGUGAAAGCAGCACCUAGGCUCUAGUCUAUACUCAGCUGGAUAAACUAGGUUGGGCUUAAAAGACCUCCAAACCUGGGGCAGAGGUUUCUCUGUGUGGAUGGUAGAGGAAUUUGGGCUAAAAUGGGUUGGGACCCAGAUUUAUUAUGCAGUCUGGACAGACCCCUGGGGAGUUUUGCACCUGGGCAAGGAUUUCAGGAUGUGGUCCCACUGUAAUAGCUGACCUGUGUAACAGGACUACAGAUUGCUAAGGAAGCAGGGCCAGACAGAAACAGCAUCAGUUUAGUCUCCUUCAGGCCCUGAUCCUGUCCACCAGCAUGAUCACAAGACACGACUAGUGCCGUGGUCAGUUUCUCAGAAUUUCUUUUUCUUUAGAAAGAUCCAUCUUUUAACUCCUUUUAUUACUCACCUCAUCACAAUGAUCUUCAUUCAUGUCCACAGAGCAUAGGGCUAGAUUGACCCUUGGUUGGAUGGGGGUCAGAGGGACAUGGCUGCAGUGAAAGACCAGGAAGAAUGCUGGCUGAUUCAGCUCCACCAUGGAUGCUGCAUGACGUUCUUCCUGUACCACAGCAGUGGGAAAAGGGCCAAGGCCUCACCCUAGCCUCACCUGCUCACCCCCGCCCUAGGAAGUCAAGUUCUGCCACUGGGCCUAGCAUGGAGCAGUGACUCUGCUCCCAAGCCACAUUUCCUGGCUCCUCUAUAGAGACCUAAGUGAGAAAGGAAGGCAAGUGUCUUUGCACCCCCCCCCCCCACAUUCUUUUGUACGUCAGACAGGGUCAGACACAAUGUGGCCAGUGACAUUUGGGGUCCUGCACACUAUGUGCAGUACAAGAUCCAAAGUAAACCGUUUCCCCCCCUCCAUUUAGGAAGGGAAUAGUUUUCAACUGUAUCCUUACCACAAACCUAGAAAUAAAGAGCCUAAGUCAAGGUCAUGGCUUUUGGGGUGCCUGACUCAUGAUUUUUGUACACUGUGGAUUGUCAAAUACUGGGAUAAAAAAAACUGAAGUCAAUCGGAGUUACUCAUACCCUUUAAAAGGCUGGGAGGUGAUUCACACCCGGAGAGUGGAAACACCAGUUUACUGGCUCUCUCCGGCAAAGGGUAUGUUGAUCCUGCCAGAUGCUUAAGCACAGAGCUAGAAUGCUUAGAGUCUUGCAGGAUCAAAUUCUAUGAACACAAGGGAUCCCUCUAGCCUCUUCUCUCUGCCUCUUUCUCCUUUAAACAGUCACAGAUGAGCAGCUAAAAUCAUCUCAAAAUAAACAUGGUCAAUGCUAAAAUAUUUUAAUUACAUUGCUGGUUACUUUUAAGAUAACACAUAACAACACCCAAGCCAAGAAACUUUGGAAACCAUGUAUCCGAAGCACCAACAUAUUAACAAGCAAAACACAAUAAAUGUUAGAUUUUUAGCACUCUCAUAAAAAACAUGCCAUAUAACAAUAGCACCAGGAGGCAAUAGUUCAGACUGGUUCACCACAAAAUAUCAUCUGGCCAAUGACAAUAAAAGGAUAAUCUUGAAACCGCUGUCAGGGCUAAUAUUCAGUAAGGAUUUCUUAUUUGAUUUUCACCCCAGAUGAGAUAUUACAGAAAAUCCCCAUUCCUUAACUAGAGGAAUUCUUUUGCUUUCAAUGGUACUUUUCCAUGUGAAUCAAUUGCACCCCAUCUCUCUCCUUUACUGAAGGAUAGCUAUAUCUGUCUCUAACCUUUUACUUUUGUACCCACAGACACAGUGGUUCUCCCUACGCCAACCAAAAAUCCAAUACAGAAUCUGUGGGAGGCAUAUUAAUGAUAAAAAAACCUCAAGGUUGUGUUUGUAUUGUUCACAAGGAAAGAGGAAAUUACAAGCAGCCACAGGGUGCAGGAGUGUUUGAAUCACCCCAGCUGUUUUCUAAUUCUGAAAGGAAAGUUUUAAAACCUUUCUCCUUGUGAACUGGUGACAUAAAUGGUGUCAUGCAGCCACGGGCUGAGGAUUGCUUCCCCACCUGUUGCUUGUAGCCUGCACUAUUACAGAUCAUCUGGAAACCAUAAACCUCCCGUUCCGUUCAUUUUUGGGCACCAAAACUGAAGUCUGGGGAUGCUGCAGGUCCGGCCUGUGCUGCACUGGAAGAACUCUCUGUGGAUCCUGUACUUGAACUCAAAGGUGCUGUAGGCCAGGGUCACCGUGCACCAGUAUAGCUAGGUGUAAGAAGUUAGCUCAUUACCUGCCUACUCUCUGCCUGGCUCUGUCAGCUUUUAAUACAAGUGAGCUCUACAUAUUCGUCUAAUCAUUAAAAAGGAGAGGGACAAACCUCGCUCUGGGGAGGGAAAUUAAAUGAGAAAGCAAUUAAUAGAAGGUAGAGGAGUGAGACUGGCCUUAUCACCUUAGUGCUGGCCUAUCAGAGAGGGUGCUGACAGAUUUACCACCACUGUGACAUGUAGAGAAUUCUCAGCUCCCAGUGCCAAGGGCUCCAAGUACAAUACACACCCUUCUGUUUGGGCUCCAGCCCAGUUUGGCACCAAAACAUUUCAGAGGAUCCAUUCUUUUCAUUUUUAGGCCUCUGUCCACCUGCCAGACUUCAAGCCACCUCAAUAUAGCAGCCAGCUAUUGCCUAGCCUGACAAGUCAGUUCUAGAAAAGGAACCAUUUGACUCUAUGUCCAGAACCUGUACCAUAGUCCCACUUCUAACUACCUGUGAGCUCCCCUUGAGCCUGUGUAUCUUUAGACAUAGAGUUAAGUCGGGAGGAGUUUCCUUAUGUUCUUGGUCUUCUUUCUGCUCCAUCCAGUCUGCUGCACUACUUCCCUCCGGAAAAGUGACUUGUGGUUCCAGGUCACUUGUGUUGAUUUCAAAAGGGGAUCAUUGUUUGACGCACACAUACACGCACACACUGUGCUUCGGGGGUUUCCGAUUUGGGCUGCAUGAGCCAACUCGGCUGCAUACCUAGAACUGGAGCCUUCCACUGCAUCAGGCUCAGCUUGGGUACGAGGCUCAGCCAGGGGGACAGUAUCAGGAUUGCAGCUUAAUCUCUGUGCCCCUCAGAGUUUAUCAUGGAUCCCUCCCUUGGCUGGCUGGCACAUUCAAGGCAUCUGCAGAAGAGCUUUCGCAGCAGUCAGUACUCGGUCUGAGUGAGGGGAGUCUCUGCAGAGCUGUCCUCCGCUUCUGUGCUGAGCACUGACCUCAGUCAGACAUACCCUCCCCAACAGCUGUCCCCAACACUGUUACCUGAAAUUGGGCCAGCUAGUAAGCUUAGGGAAGACUAAUGACCCACCAGAGUUUGGCAGAAAGCAGCACGUUUAUUAUUCUGAUAGCUAAGCUCAAAAGAA